rnacentral:rRNA from 1 species
AUGCCACAUGGUGGCGAGGGCGAUGAACCCAGCAAGGGUGAUUCCAGCAAGUCACCAAUGCCGCACGGUGGCAAGGGCAAUGAACCCAGCAAGGCGCCGCCCACGCCUCAGAUGCUUCCCAUCACAAGGCCACCCAAGCCCAGCACAAGGGGGCGGCGCAUAACGCUGCUCACCAACCACUUCAAAGCCUCCUGGAAGCCAGCGCAUGACUUCUUUUACCACUAUCACGUAGAUCUCAAGUACGGCGACGGUCAACCCGCUGCUGGGGAACGCGUGGGGAGGAAAGUGAUGAGGCAGCUAUACGAGACCUACGCCUCUGACCUCGCAGGCAAGCAAUUCGCCUACGAUGGCGAGACGGGCCUCUACACCGCCGGGCCUCUUCCUUUUACCACCAAUGUGUUUGAUGUUGCCGUGGUCGAUGCCUCAUCCAGAAGGAUCGCAGCAACGAGCGGGGGCCCCGGAGGAGAUGGCAGCCCGGGACGAAGUGACACGAAGAGAGUGAAAAUGGCAGUAGACCCCAAAAUUUUCAAGGUGGAGAUAACCUUCGCGGCAAAGGUUCCGAUGAAUUCCUCGCAGGAUGCUCUUCGGGUUCUCGACAUCAUUCUGCGGCAGCACUCUGCAAAACAGAAUUGCCUUUUAGUCCGACAGUCUUUUUUCCAUAAAGAUUCCCGUUAUGUGGAGUUGGGUGGCGGUGUUCGCGGUUGUCAGGGUUUUUAUUCUAGCUUUCGACCCACUCAAAGUGGGCUCUCGCUCAAUGUUGAUUUAACCACCACGAUGGUAGUGAGACCCGGGCCUGUGAUUGACUUUCUACUCUUCAACCAGGAUGUGAAGGACACUUCCAGAAUUGACUGGCGCAAAGCCAAACGGGCACUGAACAAAUUAAGGAUCGAGACCAUUCACACGAAGAUGGAAUUUAGUAUUGCUGGAUUGUCCGAAAAGAAUUGCAAUGAGCUGACUUUCCCACAAAAGCAAAAGGAUGGCAACACUGUGGAUGUAACUGUUUAUGAUCACUUCAUGAAUCGUUGGUCUAUGAAGAUGGAAAAGUCUGCUAAUUUGCCCUGUCUAAUUGCGGGUAAGCCAGAGCGCCCAACAUACCUCCCGCUGGAGGUUUGCGUUCUAGUGCCAUUACAAAGGUAUAAAAAGUCUCUGUCGACGUUGCAAAGGUCAAAGCUGGUGGAGGGAUCCAGGCAGAGGCCGGACCAAAGGAUGUUGAGCUUGUCUGGUGUGUUGCGUGCCAAUAAUUACAAUUCCGAUCCAGUGCUGAGGGAAUGCGGCAUUGUGAUGGAUCCAGAGUUUACUCAAGUCGAGGGUAGAGUCCUUCAGGCACCACAGUUAAACUCUGCAGAUGGUAGAGAACUUCAUACACCUAAUGGGAGGUGGAACUUCAAUAAUGACAGGUUCAUUCAACCCAUAAAAGUGAAGAUGUGGGGAGUUGUUAAUUUUUCUGCACGAUGUAAUGUUGAAGAUCUUGCCAGGCGCCUUAUCCAGUCUGGUGCCAAGAAGGGAAUUGAAAUGGCCGAAUGUGGCGUUAUUGAGGAGAGGCACAAAAUGAGACGAGAGCCUCCUACAAAAAGGGUGGAGGCUAUGUUUCAGCAGAUUAAAGCAAAGUUAACAUGA